rnacentral:misc_RNA from 1 species
CCAAGCUCAUCCUGAUAAUCUUUUAGCUGUUGGAGUUCAAGAAUGGCAACAAAGUACAUUGUUGGUUCAGUGUUGGCAUCAUUUGCAGUUGCAUAUGUUUGUGAUGUUGUUAUUGCAGACAAGAAGGUGUUUGGAGGUACUACUCCACACACUGUUGCAAACAAUGAAUGGUGGAAAGAGACUGACAAAAAAUUCCAGGCAUGGCCUCGCACUGCUGGUCCCCCAGUGGUCAUGAACCCUAUCAGCCGCCAAAACUACAUUGUCAAGUCUUGAUUAAGAUGUUUGGUCUCUGUUUCCUUUCGAGUAGUUGUGUGGUAGUUCGAUUGUAAUAAACGUUUGUUUCUGCUUGUGCAGCUACGGGUGUUAUGUCUUGUAUCAGUGAAUCGACUGUUAAACUUGAAAGGAUACAUGAUCAAAUGGAUAAAAGUAGCUACUUGUGUCUUUUAACUUGUAAUGUUGAUUCUCAGCUCUCUUUGCAGCUUUAUUUCUGGCUAAAAUGAUAAAUUUAUGUAAGAUGGGAAUACCCGUGCGUUUUAGAUCUUAUGUUACAUUGUAUAUGUAGGAAAGAGUUCAUCUGUAUUUGUGUGUGUUUUUCUUUUGUAAUCGGAAGAGUUCAUCUACCAGAAAUAUGUAUUUGUGUGUUUUUCUUUUGUAAUCGGAAGAGUUCAUCUACCAGAAAUAUGUAUU